rnacentral:rRNA from 1 species
AGCUCCAAUAGCGUAUAUUAAAGUUGUUGCAGUUAAAAAGCUCGUAGUUGGAUCUCGGGUCCGGGCUGACGGUCCGCCCAGCAGGCGGUCAACCGUCUGACCCGACCUACCUGCCGGUCUUCCCCUGGUGCUCUUCACUGAGUGUCUGGGGCGGCCGGGACGUUUACUUUGAAAAAAUUAGAGUGCUCAAGGCAGGCGCUUCACGCCUGGAUAUCGGUGCAUGGAAUAAUGGAAGAGGACCUCGGUCUCCUAUUUUUGUUGGUUUCAGGGACUCGAGGUAAUGAUUAAGAGGGACUGACGGGGGCAUUCGUAUUACGGUGUUAGAGGUGAAAUUCUUGGAUCGCCGUAAGACGGACUACUGCGAAAGCAUUUGCCAAGAACGUUUUCAUUAAUCAAGAAC